UUCAAGCUUCAUCAUCGAUCCUCUUCGUUGCGUCUGACGUCAUCCUGACGUAGCCUUCGUCACUGGACUUCCAUAUGGCGCCUCUGCGCCGCGGGCUCACCUGAGAGCGCGCGGCCUCCCGUCGCUCCGCCGGCCUGAGGCCUCCGUGUCGCGGCGUGACGCCCCCGAGCACUGCGCUGUCCCUCCGCCAAGGGGGGGCUCACAGCCGGCUUGGAUUUUGCGGAGCACCGCUGACAGGAGAUCCGCAGAGACAACAGGUUUGUUGAAGUUAAAUGGAAAGAAGCGAGAUUGCGUCUUCGCAGCGUCAUCAUCAUCAUCAUCGCUGCUGUUGCCCCUCCUCCUCCACUGCUGAUGUCAUAGCCCACGGCCAGCAGGUCACAGGUUCAGGACACGGCGAGUGUUUGGACCUCACCACCUGCUCGCUCUGCCGACCAAUGAGAUGCUGUUCUGACAGUCAGAGGGCGGGCUCUGGUCCGCGAGAAGGCGUCUCCCAAAAGAAGAGCAUGAAUCAAAGUGUGGAAGUGAAGCGUCAGUCAGCGAGCUCAAGCACCAACGGAUCAGAGGCUAACUGCUGUGGGGGCGGGGCUUCUGACAAGUCCACCUGCUGGGCGCCGCCCACGGAGUCCUGUCAGUAUGUAAACCAUGUGACCAACUCCUCAGACUCUAACUCAGACACACAGGAGGGGCAGGUGACCUCUGACCUCCAAGUGGUCGGCUCCGACGACGCCUUCACAUCGGAGCCCCCAGCGCCAUGUGGGCAGAGAGUCGCCCCCCCUCGCUGCAGGAACACGUUCCAGUGCGUCCGCCGUCCGCAGAGCGCCGCCACAGGCUCCGAGCUGCAGUCCAGGAGGCCUCGACUCGCCGAGUCCUUCAGCAGCAGGAAGCAGCCGUCCCUCAGUCAGAAUGUCCCUGGGUGGAAGCUGUUUGGUAAAGUUCCUCCCAAACAGAGUCCCACCAAACAGGCUCUGGUCAUCCAGCAGGAGUUCGAGGCGCGGCAGCUCGCAUCAUGCAGCCCUUCUACCCAUCAUGCCGCGGGGCAGCAGAGCAAGAAGAAGGUGGAUUUUGAGCCGCUGUCAACCACGGCGCUGAUCUUAGAGGACCGACCACCGAACCUCCCAGCCAAGUCGGCGGAGGAGACCCAAAGACACAGACAGCAGUACGAGGACAUGGUGGCCGAAGCCAGGAGGAUGGAGCUGAAGGAGGCUCAGAGGAGGCAGCAGCAGAAGGAGGAGAGGUUCAGACAGGAGGAGGAGAUCUCCAACACCUCGCUGGUCUGGAACCAGCACAUCCUGCCGCACUGGGACGCCAUGAGGUCCAGUCGUCGGGCUCGGGACCUGUGGUGGGGGGGUUUACCCCCCAGCGUCAGAGGGUGGGUCUGGAGCCUCGCCGUCGGCAACGAGCUUAACAUCACUGCAGAGCUCUACCAGAUCUUCCUGUCCAGAGCCAAGGAGAAGUGGAGGGGCGUCCUGGGGACAGACGACGCCCCGGAGCUCAUCAGGCGGGACAUCUCCAGGACGCUGCCCUCGCUCUGCGUCUUCCACAAGGUGAGACACCUUCGUGUGUCCACCUGCGGACAGGAAGUCAACUCACAAUUUGUUGUUUUGCAGGGCGGACCGUACCACAAUCUGCUGCAAAGCAUUCUGGGAGCGUACACUUGUUACCGACCUGACGUGGGAUAUGUGCAGGGUAUGUCGUCCAUAGCAGCAAUGUUGAUCCUAAACAUGGACGAGGUUCAGGUCUUCAUCAGCUUCUCCAACCUGAUCAAUAGACGCUGUCAGCUGGCUUUUUACAGAGUGGACCACCAGCAGAUGCUCAGGUAUUUUGGGGCCUUCCAGGUUUUCUUCCGGGAGCUUCUCCCUCGGCUCUUCCUUCACUUCCAGUCUUCAGGUGUGACUCCGGACCUGUACCUCAUGGACUGGAUCCUGACCCUCUACGUGAAGCCCCUCCCCCUGGACGUGGCGAGCAGAGUGUGGGACGUGUUCCUCCGGGAUGGGGAGGAGUUCUUGUUCAGGGCGGCUCUGGGCAUCCUGAGGCUCCACCAGGACGUCCUGCUGCAGAUGGACCUGGUUGGCAUCGGUGAGGCAGCACCUGACCCCGAACCCUCAACCUUCCAAAGAACUAUGGCCCUUACCUGAACCCGUCCUCCUCCAGCUCAAUUCCUGUCCCGCCCGCCUGCCGAGGAGCCACUCUCCUAUAGGCUGUUCUCCUGCAUCCAGGCCACGCCCCUGCUAAGUGGGAACAGGAAGUGGACUCAGGUUUUGUUGUCCUGCAGAGACUCUGAGGACAUCAGCUGAUCUGCAUAUGAACCUCUCGUCAUUGAUCUUUAUUUCCUUCUGUAAUAAGACAUUAGAAGAUGAACUGAAGCUGCUACUGUGAUAAGCAGAAAUAUGUUUGACUGGUACUGUAUGAAUAAAUGUGAAUGAAUAUGCAAACAA